AUUCAGAUGACGAAUCCAAAAUAGAACGAAACACGUAUCUUAAAU
rfam:Schistosoma mansoni strain Puerto Rico chromosome 2, complete genome